UACGUAGGGGGCGAGCGUUGUCCGGAUUCAUUGGGCGUAAAGCGCGCGUAGGCGGCUCCGCAAGUCGGCCGUGAAAUCUCCGGGCUCAACUCGGAGGGGUCGGGCGAGACUGCGGGGCUCGAGUCCGGAAGAGGGGGGGCGGAAUUCCCAGUGUAGCGGUGAAAUGCGUAGAUAUUGGGGAGGAACACCAGUGGCGAAGGCGGUCCCCUGGGCCGGAACUGACGCUGAGGCGCGAAAGCGUGGGUAGCAAACGGG
rnacentral:rRNA from 1 species